GACGAACCGUGCGAACGUUGUUCGGAAUAACUGGGCUUAAAGGGAGCGUAGGCGGGCUAGCAAGUCUGGGGUGAAAUCCCGCGGCUCAACCGUGGAACUGCCUUAGAUACUGUCGGCCUCGAGGGAGAUAGGGGCAUGCGGAACUAACGGUGGAGCGGCGAAAUGCGUUGAUAUCGUUAGGAACUCCGGUGGCGAAAGCGGCGUGCUGGAUCUCUUCUGACGCUGAGGCUCGAAAGCUAGGGGAGCAAACGGG
rnacentral:rRNA from 1 species